rnacentral:rRNA from 1 species
UACGUAGGGGGCAAGCGUUGUCCGGAUUUAUUGGGCGUAAAGAGCGUGUAGGCGGCCAGGUAGGUCUGCUGUGAAAACUCGAGGCUCAACCUCGAGAUGUCGGCGGAAACCAUCUAGCUAGAGUCCGGAAGAGGAGAGUGGAAUUCCUGGUGUAGCGGUGAAAUGCGCAGAUAUCAGGAAGAACACCCGUGGCGAAGGCGGCUCUCUGGGACGUGACUGGCGCUGAGACGCGAAAGCGUGGGGAGCGAACAGG